UACGUAGGGGGCAAGCGUUGUCCGGAAUCAUUGGGCGUAAAGAGCGUGUAGGCGGCCCGAUAAGUCCGCCGUGAAAGUCCAGGGCUCAACCCUGGAAUGCCGGUGGAAACUGUCGGGCUGGAGUCCGGAAGAAGGCGAGUGGAAGUUCCUGGGUGUAGCGGUGAAAUGCGCAGAUAUCAGGAGGAACACCAAUGGCGAAGGCAGCUCGCUGGGACGGUACUGACGCUGAGACGCGAAAGCGUGGGGGAGCAAACAGG
rnacentral:rRNA from 1 species